GAAUAUUUUGUGAUGAUUGCAUAGUUCAUAUGAACUGGCUGUGAUAAUAUUUUAUGUCAAUGUCUUUCGCUCCUAUCUGAAGCACAU